AUUGUCGUCUUGCAAGCCGAGAAAUUUUAGGUUUCAUUCUCUGACGACGAUGAUAUUCUUUAAAACCAACAAUGGAGUUUCGACAGAUCGAGUGUCUCAAAUCAGCGUGAACGAUCUCUUUCUGGCUUUUCAAUCGUCUUCAAUCGCGUCCUUUAGUCUUCUGUGCUGAUUAACCGAAACGUUUUGAGCAUACUCAUUCCCUUUAUCUCCUUCUUAACUCCAUCAACCACAAACCGACAUUCAAUGGAUCUUUCUCUUCUGUAAAGCCGUGUGUAUCUACACCUAUAAAAAGCUUCACAUCAAAUUUUAGGGUUCAUACUCCUCUUCGAUCUCUUUAUAGGUUCUCUGAGAGCUUUGAGAGAUUGAGUUGAGCUGAUGGACCAAGUAACAGUCAGAUCAAGAUGGACAGCCAUGGAGCAAGGGACGGAGAGAUAGAAAAGGGAAUUGCUACAGUUCAAGCUAUCACAUGGGAGGUCGGACAUGGAAAACAGGUUCGUGCUUUGGAUUUUUUUUUAAAAAUGGAGGGAUGGAAGUUGCGGUGGAGGAGUCUGUCAUGAAUGCAUAGCUUCUCAUGAGGAUGUUGCUCAAAUUCGAUGUCAUCAAAGGAGAAGGGAAAGCUAGAGUAAAACGAUAACGCAGAGUUCAAUGUUUCAUCUACUGCAUUCUUCAUCUGUCUGCAUCACCUAUGUUUACCCAAUCAGAAUGUCAACAACAGUGGUGAACGAUAUGCAUCAGGUGGCGAGAUAGCCGGGGCUGGGAUUGGAUGAGCCUGAGCAGCUAGAACAUCCAGGAUAUACAUCACAGGUAAAUAAGAUCCACAAAGUCCCGGUCUGAUGCUUGAUCAACUAUCUGACCCAAAAGAAAGGAGGUGAUGUUAUUGGAAACCAACAGAGAUCUUAAGAGAAAGUUGGAGGAAAGUGAUGCCGCCCUUAAUCAAUCAUUAUGGGGAGCUUCUUCUUCUGCGGAACAUUCCCAACAACAGCAAUAACAAGGCAUGAGCUCUUAUCAAGCAAACUUUUCGAUGCAAGAAUUGGUUUUCUUCGGGCCUUUACAAGGAAUGUAGCAUUGCAAAAGAGGUAUUCAUCAUAGAGAAACUGUUAAGACCCAAUGAAUUGACCUUUUAUGGUCAGCUAGAUUUAUAAUUGAGUUUUGUUUGUUUUUAUGGAACGAUCAUUAUUACAAUCGUUCAGUAUAUAUUUGCAGGUUCUGUACCAAUGGUUAUAUAUAAUUGACUACUUAUACCUGAGAGGUUUACAUGGUGUUACUAUGAUUGGAAAAGUCUGUUGGUUGGUCUGUGAAUUAAUAUCGAAUGACUUAUAGUAUUAAUUAAGUUGCUAUAUUGUUAAUAUUUGUUUAUUCAUUAAUAUUGAAAUAAGGAUAAUUAAUUAUAUGGGUUACAU